rnacentral:lncRNA from 1 species
GCCGCGAAGCUUUGGCUUCCGGGGCUUAUCGGGGAAGUGGAAUCGCUGAAGUUAUCUGAUAAAUGGAAGUGGUUAGUGCGUGGUGACAACUGGGCUGAAUAGGGUCACGACCCUGGGUCUGCUCAUGAGCGCGCGUGUCUUGCUGGCGUAGAGUCUGUAUGAUUUAAGAAAUGAGAAAAACCUUGUUUGUUUGUUUUUUUUUGUUCCACAUAGAUCUGCGGGUCCGGACCUUGGCGCUAGCCUUCCCCUCCAGCUUGAUACUCCUGCCCUGCUUUCUCAGCCUUCCUUUAUCCUCUCGACCAACCCUUGCAUCACCAGUGCCGGGACCAGCACAAGCUACAGCAUGGUCCCGUCUCCACCCUCCUGCCACAAGUCUUUGAUCCCUGUUCAUCCCAGCGCUAUCAGCUCCACAACAAGCAUCGCAUCUGCCAGAGAAGACCAAAAACCCUCUACCUCCACCGGUCACCCUUCCGCGUUUGCUGCCUUCCACGCGAGAAGCGCGUCCGCACCCUCAAAACAAGCCAGUCAAAGGCUCGUCGUUCCUGAGGUCCCCGACAGUGCGGUUCCUGGAGGGGCAGUGGGACAGUACAGCAGUGCUGCCAGCGAUAUCGGCCUCGCCCUUUUCGGCGUAGAGCUCGUUAACAAAGCUUUGUUUCAAAGUUUAAUGGAAGAAAACAGUUGCUGUUUGCUUUACAUUGUGGAAGAUCAGCUGCAAGAGGUGGAACGUGCCUUCAGUGCAGAAUUUUUGGCCAAUACCAGGGUGCUGCGGCAGCAAGAUGCUGACAUUGUGCUCAAUGAUCAACGUGUCUCUGGAGCCAUCAUUUGUUCACCACCUGAGGAAGCUUCUGAGAUUGUAAUAGAUGCCUUACGAGCUGGGAAAGGUGUAUUUUGCGAGAGGCUACCCAGUUUAGACAGGCAGACAGCAGAAGCUUGUUUUGAUGAAGCUGACAGAUGUGGAAGACCAUUGGUUUGUGGAUUCUACAAGCGUUUUGACCCAGCACUGCAGUUCUUGUAUAAAAAAGUCCGUGACAGCCAGGCGUUGGGGAGGAUUCACCGGAUAUCAGCGAUUAGCAGCAUAUAUCCGGCAGCUUCUCUUAGCUUCCUAAAAAAGUCAGGUGGAAUUUUUUAUAAUGCUGCUGUGCAUGACAUAGAUGUUAUCAGUUUGUUGUUGGGAGAGAGUGCACCAGAUACAGUAUUUUCACUGGGACAUGCGUUCUGUGCAGAUAUGGCCUACUUGAAGGAUGCAGACACUGUAGCAGUCAGCAUGAAAUUUCCUAGCGGAGCAAUUGUUACUUUGGACGUCAGUCAGCACUGCACUAAAAGCUGUGAUCAGAGACUAGAGGUUCAUGGUUCUCAAGGAACGUUACGGGUAGAUAAUCAGAAUCCCUUGGGAAUUACGGAGCAUGGAACUUCUGUAUCCAUCUACUCACAGACGCAAGCCGAUCGUUACAGAGAUGCACACAGAGAGCUCUUUCGACACUUUCUUAGAACCCUGAAAGGCAAAGAACCUCCCAUGAUAACCAAAGAGCAGUUUCUCUGGACAAUUCAGGUAGCUGCAGCUGCUGAACAGUCCUGGAGAAAUGGAUCUGCUGUUGACUUACGCAAUGAAGCAAUAGAUUCAUCUGUGAUCAAGACUGAAAUAAUGUGAUGCACACUGCUGUUUUCUGAGAAUGCAAUCUGUGAAUUUGUACAGUGGCCCUGUACAACCCCUGUCACUGAGGUGUGUGUGUUGGCUGGGUUAUUCAGCACCUGCAUUCAGCAUUGUCUGGAUCACGCACUGCAACAGCAAG